AUGUACUUUGAACGCACGAUGAGAAAUUUCUUCUGCAGAGACCAAUUGCAGAAAAUACAUUUACACUAUUUCCUAACUAAUGUUUUAACACCAGGUGCUUCUAUCAAGCCCUCUGGAUACUACAGAUUUUAGAUUCUGUUAACCAGGAAGUGUUGAAAAAAUGACUUCUCUAGGUCACUGAAAAUAAAUGCUGGUUCAACAAUUAGGUAACAAUUAGGUUGAAGAUCUGUUACAAUGUCAUCCCCCAAAAGUAGAAUUAAACUGAUCUAGAUUUAGACGGAUCUGUUUAGGACACACCCCUAUGAGACACUGACAGAAGUACACAUGUGUGGUUUAAAGUGUUUCUUAAAUUUCUUGACCUGAUCUUCAAUGGUAUUGUUGUAGAAUAGUAACAUUUUAGUAAGCCCCCCCCCAUAUUUUAAUAUAGCACUUAUAUUGUAAUUUGAAACAUUCAUAGUUGAAUGUAAGCCCCAAUGAACAAGAGGACAUAUAUAGAAAUAUUCCUGGUCAGGAACAGGUCAGGUUCCUGGUCAAACAACAGUGCUGAAUUACAUAUGCAUAGGCAUAUUUUCUUCUGACUAUGGCCCCCUCUAGAUAUCCUUUUCGUUGAGAAUUCCUGAUUAAUUGUGUUCAUGAUUCUAUCAAGGUGGUCAUAAGUGAUCCUGCUUUCAAGACUACUUGCUCCUGCAAAAGUUUUGGAAUCGUCUUACUGCUUCAUUUCUAGUCAGUGCAUAUCCUGUAAUUUUCUGCUGAAAUUCUGUAACUGCAAAUUUUCUGGGGGAUUUCUUCUUCUCCCACCUUUGUUGCAUCAUAGCCAUUCUGGUCAGCAAUAAGGUGGUAGUAGCAUUGGGGAAACAUUACAGAACAACUAAUAAUAAAUGCACCACCAAUGCACUGUUAGUGUGCCAAUAAUAUGUUGCAGAAUACACCUGCAAUAAAACAUCAGUCUGGAGAGGCCCAAUGACUUGUCUGCAUCAUUUACACAUCCUGAUUCCCUCAGUUGUUCCCUUUAGCAUGUUUUACUCUAGCUGUUUUAUAGGCUUACCUAUUAUAUACGAAGGAUUGGAAUCAGCGAGUCUUCUUUUCGCUGUUCUUUGGUGAUCUUGUGCUUUGACUGCGUCUUCCUUUUUGUUGCCUUUAUUUUAACUUUGUUUCAAAUUAAAAUUCCAUGGGGUUUUUUAGAUAUAUAAAAAAGGGUAUAGGGAGAGGCUUGCUUGCUUACCUCCAUCUAGUUCUUCAGCACCAAAAUGAUUCCUGUAGAAUAGCAUAAUCUCAAUCUUGUAGCACUUGUAGAUAGUCACUAAACAAACAAGUAGCAGCAGAAUAGCACCAAGCCCGCCAGCAAGCUCAACUGUAUACAUCAGCUCUGCAAAGAAUUAUAAAACUUAAUAACCACCACAUUCUGAACUAAAGGCAGCCAUUUAUUAUCAUGUUGUGGAGGUAGAAAAUGCUGUCAACAGUUCAAAAAUACAUGAUAUUUAGAUAUUCUGUCUGUAGAAAGAGCAUGUGUUUUACUAGUUUGUCACAGGUAUAACACCAUUUUUUACAGGAAGCAACAACCAUGGUUAUCUUUUUGUUGUACACAACAGUCCUGUGAUAUGCAGUGUUUACAUAUGCGGUUGCAUUGCUCAAGGAGUUUUUGUCAGUCAUGUAGGAUGAAGCUAAAUAUAUACUUUUUUUCAAAAUUUAAAUAUGUGAAGACAAAUUAUUUCAUGUCUUCCAGUGUCUCAUGGAUCGGUUGUGUUUUAAUAUCUCUGACACCAUUCCCUGUUGAUAUGCAAUUCAUCUUCCCUUCUCAACUCUCCAUAAACAGGUUUGCCUUUUUUCUCUCUCUCUUAGAUGUUGCAAAUCAUCCCAAUUUGUCAUUUCUGACAUUCAGAGCUGGAACGUGACCACUUUCUUGUGUUAUGUUGUACCACUGGAGAUUGCAUGAUGGAUUGAGAUCACUGUCAUGUAGGUUAGUUUUCAAGGAUGAAAAAAAAAAUCCACACAACUCAAGACAAAUGUAAUCAUACUGUCUGUCAACAGUAAUCUCCUUGGUAAUAACACUUAUCGGAUAAUAACUGCAAGUGUUAAAGUCAUCAUUGCCCAUUGCCCUCACAAUUACCAAGCAGUUGCAUAUGGGUGACCAUACUAUUAUUCCUGCUGCUGUUAAGACAGGAAAUGAGGGGUGGUAAAAUGAAGACAAACAUUGUAAUGUCAUAAGGCUGUUGUAUUGUUUCACAAGCUGUAUUGAAAUUAGAGAUGAAGAAUAGUCUGUCAUUCU